CUCUCCAAAAAUAUAUAUUAAUUAAUAAUUGAUUUUUUAUUUUCUGUCUUCUCCAAACAAAAAAAAAAAAACAUUCAAAAGGACGCGCGUUGAAUUGAAGGAACUCAAACUCAACUCUGUUUGCAUUACAAUUCUCUCUCAGAUAGAUACUUCCCAUGGCGCCGCACGAUCUCCGCCGUCCAUUCAAACGUCCCUUAAUCUCCGAUCAAGAGCGACGCAGACAACAAUCUCUACUCCGUCAAGCACAGAAUCGCCUCGACGCUCAACACCAUGCUCGCUUCUUAGUUUCCACCGCAUUCUCUCUCUCUUCUUCCCAAACUCCCGAACCUGAAACCGAACCUAUCCACGAACCCGAAUCACAUCAGAAUGACGAACUCGAUGUUCUAGAAGCUUCGAAGCUGAAAGGCGCAGAAGCUCGAAAAUGGUUCGCCAAACAACUCAUGCAUCCUGAAUGGAUGAUCGAUAUCCCUGAAAAUCUCACCAAUGAUUGGUUUGUUCUUGCAAGGCCUUCUGGAAAAAGGUGUUUUGUGGUUUCCAGUAACGGAACAACGAUAAGCCGUUUGAGAAACGGUUCAAUUCUUCAUCGUUUUCCUUCUAAAUUGCCAAACGGAGCAAGAACAAAGGAUGUUAACUCCGGUUCUUCAAAUUCUUACUCUAUACUUGACUGCAUUUUCCAUGAACAGGAUCAAACUUACUAUGUUAUUGAUAUGGUUUGUUGGCGUGGCUACUCCCUCUACGAUUGUACUUCUGAGUUCAGGUUCUUUUGGGUGAACUCUAAGCUUGCUGAGACCGGUGCCUUUGACCCUCCUUCAUAUUAUCAUAAGUAUAGCUUCAGUUUAGUUCCGGUGUACGGUUGUGAUCAGAGUGGUUUGUGUUCAGCUUAUUCAGCACCUGUGCCUUAUGUCAAAGACGGUCUUCUGUUCUAUAACAAGCAUGCACAUUACCAGGCUGGGAUUACGCCAUUAGCAUUAGUUUGGAAGGAUGAGAACUGCAGCCAAUAUGUUAUGGACACAGACAGUAAAGGACAGGUUCCAAACCAACAACAGGUGGUUUUGGAGCUUCAAGAAGAUGGAAAACUGACUACAUGCGAUGAUCCUCCUGUGGUAUUUGGCUGUUUAGAUGGAAGCUUCAUCCAGCAGUCAGAUUUGCAUUCAGGGUAUCUUCUACGGUUUGCAAUUGGAGAAGAAGGGUUGGUUUUGGUGGGUGGGAAACUUGAGAAAGCUGAUCUACAAUAUCUUGGCAAGGCCAAUCGAGCUCGUGCCUCUGCUGAUAGUUUCUCUAAGGUUAUGUUCCAAUAUAGUGUUCGACACUCCCCCCUCAAACUUGAUGAUCUGUUGGGGUCUGUCAGCUCACCAGUAGAUCAAGAAAGUAAAGCAUGCGACAUUGAGAUGGAUGGUUGAUAGGAAAUGCUCUACGGAUUGCACAUGUCAGUUUUUAUCCUGAAUGCAACGUUUUGAAGUUUUCGCGUUAAUUUCUGGUUUUCUGUGAUGCUUAUUCCACGAGCCAUCCAUAUUUUAUGUUGAAGAUUCACAAAAUUGCUAGCUACCAGUCAACCACACAUGCUGAGCUAGAGUUGUAACGAUCAUACUCAAUUCAAUUUGUGGUUUGCCUCCAGAGUUUCUUUAACCCAUAUGAGAGCAGGUGCACCCAUCAGGGUAAUAGUACAUGGUUUCUGCAGGUACUCCACAUUCUCCACCAGAAUCUGGAGUGUCAUAGAAGGAUCCUGAGUUUGGCCAAGAGCGUUCGUGAUUUCCACCGCAGUAUGAAUAAAUGUGAUAUCCUUUCAGUUUAAAAGAAUAUGUAAAACUCAAUUCAAAUUUCUAUGGCCUAAAAUGAUUGCAAGCAAGCGAACCUUGCUAUCAUAUAUGGAACUGUUGAUGAAAUUUGUUGAACUUGAGCUGUGAAUUGAUCCCACUGUGAGAUGUAUCGAUUUGCAUAAGGCAUAUCUCCUAUGUGGAAAACAAUGUCAAAGUUGUCUAAAUCCUUGAUGAGCUGGUCGGUGGUGUUAAGUGAACCAGGUUGAUAAUUAGCAUAUUCAUUUGAACCAUCACGCUCAGCCUAAAGAACACGCAAAGCAAAGUAAGCCUUCUUCCCAUUGUACUAUUCAUGCUUAAAAUUAGAGUUUCUUAUUCAAAAGUUAGAAAAGUCUCAUUCUUUCAAAUAUUAUAAACCUUAAAUAACCAAUGCUACCUUUCCCAUGUCACCAAAUAUUAUAACGCGUUGCAACGAGUUUUGUCCAGGAUAUGGAGAUGCCUUGAAUGAAUACCUCUUACUCCAUACAUAAGAACCGUCAGACAUGAAAUGCCCUAACCUGUAGGUGUACCUGGGGAAAGAACAAGGAAGAUUGCUAAGCUUUGUGAACUUUUGUCGAACUGGAAAGUUAAGCGAAAAAACUUGCGUCAUGAAAAUGACUGAAUGCAUACCUCAUAUUUGGC